rnacentral:rRNA from 1 species
AACGAACGCUGGCGGCGCGCCUAAUACAUGCAAGUCGAGCGAGAAGACGCAGCAAUACGUUUGUAAAGCGGCGAACGGGUGAGGAAUACAUGGGUAACCUACCCUCGAGUGGGGAAUAACUAGCCGAAAGGUUAGCUAAUACCGCGUACGCUCCUUGGACUUCGGUUCAGGGAGGAAAGCGAUACCGUGGGUAUCGCGCUCUUGGAUGGGCUCAUGUCCUAUCAGCUUGUUGGUGAGGUAACGGCUCACCAAGGCUUCGACGGGUAGCUGGUCUGAGAGGACGAUCAGCCACACUGGCACUGCGACACGGGCCAGACUCCUACGGGAGGCAGCAGUAAGGAAUAUUGCGCAAUGGGCGAAAGCCUGACGCAGCGACGCCGCGUGGGGGAUGAAGGUCUUCGGAUUGUAAACCCCUUUCGGGAGGGAAGAUGGAACGAGCAAUCGUUCGGACGGUACCUCCAGAAGCAGCCACGGCUAACUUCGUGCCAGCCGCCGCAGUAAG